rnacentral:rRNA from 1 species
AUUGAACGCUGGCGGCAUGCUUUACACAUGCAAGUCGAACGGCAGCGCGGGCUUCGCCCUGGCGGCGAGUGGCGAACGGGUGAGUAAUGCAUCGGAACGUGCCCGGUAGUGGGGGAUAGCCUGGCGAAAGCCGGAUUAAUACCGCAUACGACCUGAGGGUGAAAGCGGGGGACCGAAAGGCCUCGCGCUAUUGGAGCGGCCGAUGUCGGAUUAGCUAGUUGGUGGGGUAAAGGCCUACCAAGGCGACGAUCCGUAGCUGGUCUGAGAGGACGACCAGCCACACUGGGACUGAGACACGGCCCAGACUCCUACGGGAGGCAGCAGUGGGGAAUUUUGGACAAAGGGGGCAAGCCUGAUCCAGCCAUGCCGCGUGCGGGAAGAAGGCCUUCGGGUUGUAAACCGCUUUUGUUCGGGAAGAAAUCCUCUGGGCUAAUACCCCGGGGGGAUGACGGUACCGGAAGAAUAAGCACCGGCUAACUACGUG